rnacentral:lncRNA from 1 species
UGAUUCUGAGUUUUGAUUUGGAUGUUUUAUGACAACCCAUAGAUUCUGCAGAGUCUCUGGACUACGGCUGUGCCCACACCACCAAGCACCUGGAGACCUGGACCUCAGAGCUCUGCAUUGGCCAGUGAGGAUAACCUCUGUUUUGCUUCCUGAAAAUAUCCCUCUCUUCUGAAAGCUUGUAGAAAACACUCAAUAAAUGUUUGUAAACUCAUAAUAAAUGAAUAGAUGUUUGGAUAAGCAGACAGACUGGUCACCCCCUUCCUCACUCUGAAUAAUUGCAUGGUCAUACAGGCAAUGAGAUGGACAUUUAUUAAACAUUUAUACACCACUUUCAAGCCUCCCUAAUCCCUGAGUUAUGCAUUUUUUUCUAUCAGGAAACUAAGGCACAGUGAGGUUCAGAGACUGUCAUCUCUUAUGUAGCUGGUCCCAGGGUUCAUUUGGGAUUUAAAUCAAGGCUACAAGCUCUAGAGCCAGUUUGGAGACAGGCUGCGAGAGCUGGGACUUCUGAGCCAUUCUGGAGACUCUGGAGACAGGCCGGUGGUGAGGCCUGUCCAACAGGGACAGGCAGGGACCUGCUCGGAAGCAGUUUCUCUGGCUUCAUCCUGUGGUCGGCUCCACUUUAUGAAAACAAGAUGAUGUCCAAACCGGACAAGUGACUUCAGCUCUCCAGGAGUGCAUGUCACCUCUGUGUUGCUGUGACCGACCAAAGUGCUUGGUGGGAGCAACCCAGAGGAGGAAGUCUGUUUUGUGCCCAGGGUCUAGGUCCUUGGUUGGCUGACUCCACUGCUCUGGGCCCAAGGUGAGGCAGAACAUCCGGGUCGGGGGAAGGGAUGGCAGAGAGAAGCCGCUCAGCUCACCGCAGCUGGGAAGCAGAGGGAGGGGGAGGAGCCAGGGGCAAGACAUAUCCCCAAGGCAUGCCCCAGUGGCCUGCAGGUACCUCGCAGUGUGCAUCCUAACCAUUCCUCCAUCGCAGGGGUCAAGCUACAGCUCUCAUGACCUAACCACCUCGCCCUGACCGUGCCUGCAGUGCAAGCGCUUUCAGGAGACCUCUUAGAGCCAGAAGACCAGCCAGAGGCGAGAGGUGACCAGAGGCUAGAGGAGUUUCCUUCCUGUGGCUGACGCUGCUAGAAUGGCGGACACGGGCUGGGGUUGUGGUUCACGAGACAGCCCGGCCUCGUAGGCAGAAAGACCUGGGUUCCACCCCAGCACCUGAACAAACAAAAAUUCCAGAGUUGCCCCCGCCCCCAGGGCUGCCCUUGGCAUGACUGAGAGAGCCCAGCUCCUGGCCCUUACCUCGGCUGGCUUCUGGGGAACCCCUCCUGAGACAGCAGGCCUCCUCGGGCCCUUCCCCCAGAGAGUGGGUCAAACUUGGGGGAUGGGGACAAGGAACUGUGGUCUGUCAUGUACUGUCCCCUCUACUGCGCACAGGCUCUGCAUGGGCUGCUCCUGCUGCCCAGCCAGGCCGUGCCUCCCUCUCAUUCCCAUGAAAGCCUGACCCACUCCUGUCAGAGAGCAUGGACCCUGCAGGCCUUCCUGGUCCAGGGACCCACGAGAGAAGAGGAAAGGACUGGCCUCUGAGUUCCAUUCCUCUCGGCCACAGCGCCCUCCCCCAGGCCACUGCAGUCAUGAAGCUGACAUGUGUCUUCUAGCUCAUCUUUUUACCCCUUUCUGCGUGCACACCCAAGAGCGAAACGGGCGUGCCGUGGUGUUUCAGGGGUACACCAGCGCUCUCCUGUUGCACCCGCCUUCUGCAGUCUGUUCACAUCUGGGAGCAGCGGUGGCACGUGGUCAGGUUCGUUCACUGUAACUGCCAGGUGGUGUCCCAGGCGGUGAGUGGACCGUGGCCGAUCCGCUGUCUCCUGACGCGCUCUUUCCAGGCUUUCAUAGCCGUGGCCACCCAUUGUCCCCGGGCCCCAAGCAGCCUCCCCCAUCUGCCCAGAGGGCUCCUCCUUUCAGGGCUCCUGCCUCAGCCUGGAUCCUCCUGAUGACUCUAAGCAUGCCUUCCCUGGAGAGCAGGCACCAGGGCCCCACUGUGGGCCCAAGCCCUUGCCGGGUAGAGCUGCGCCCCUCCAGAAGCCCAGGAACCUGGGCCCAGGGGACAGAAGAGCAAGCUCUUAAUGGCCUCAAGUGAGGUGAGCCCUGGCACCCAAGGAGCUCUUGGACAUGAGUCAGUCUGUGGCCAGGACACAGGGGCUGCAGGACAAGGCCACCCCUUGCCUCCAGACCCAACAGUACCACUGGCUCAGGGAGCAGCUCACUGUGGACAGCGUGCUGUCACGCAGGCAUCCUGCCUGGGCCGCUCACUUUACCUGAACAUCACAGUUGGCUCUGGACAGGCAAGAUCAGCCCUUCCUGGGAGACACUGAAGGUACUAAGUGGCAGAGGAGGGUUCGAGCCAACGCCAAGUCCCCUGAUCCAGGUCCUGUGCACUGCCCAGCGCCUUCUCAGCUGUGGCCUUGGCCGGGCCGAGCCAAGCCGGGCUCUACCGGGUGUUCAAGGAGAAACCGCCCAGCACAGCCAGGAGAUUAAGAGUGGCACAAGAUGCAGCCUGGCCACGGACGUCCUCAGAUCUCCAUGCCUUGCUCUGCAGGCUGUGGUGGCUGCUGGGCGCUGCAGACACCUCCUGCCUCUAGGCCCGAGGCCCCGCAUCAAGUGACCUGAGCACAGGACCUCAGUGCCACGCUGGAUGAGGUCCGGAGCUGGGAGCGACCUGAAGUGCUCAGCAUUCUGCAGAAGGAUGACACAGACUUGGGGAGGCCUGGGGAGGUGGCCAUCACUGGUCCUGAGAGGCCUGACCCAGCCACACCCAGGAGUGACGUGCCCCAGGGUCUGCGUGGCACAGUGGGAGGCAGAGAAAGCCAGGGUUCCAGCCUAGGGACGAGGGAGACUUGAGGGGAGGGGAGGCCUUGGAGGUUAGGACAGGUGUGUUCAUGGGCUGGAAGCCACGGGGGCUCCUGGCCUCUCAGGGCACUUGAUUCCAGCAGCCCCUGGGACAGGGACCAGGAGACACAUUCCAUGUGAGGCCCAAGGAAGGGAGUCCAAGGAAGGGAGGUUGGGGACCAGGAUGUCCCGGGCACCAGGAAGGUGCUGCAGCAGGGCUGGCACGGGGGCUGCUUCAGUACCCUCGGGUGGCUUGACCUCUGCCCUCUGGGACUGCAAAGGGGUCCGCAGGUGGCUCUGGGGAGUCAAUUGUCUGAUAGGCACUAUGUUCCUGAGAAUGUCCAAGGAAAUCUGGGGGCGGGGGGUGGUGGCAGGAAAGAAAAAAAACAAGAGUGAGAAACUGGGAGACGUUCUGUUGAUCCCAAACCAAGAUCCAUCCCCCGUCCAAGGCCAGGGCUGGGCAUCCUGAUGCCAGGGAGAGUGGACAGUGGCAGCACCUAUAAGCCUCUAGCAUGCCCCGGAGCAGGUGUGUUCACGGCCUCACUUUGCCGAGGAAGCAGUCAAAGACUUGCCUGAAGUCAUUCAGCUCUACAUCCCCGACGCUGGGCCCUGGGGCCAGCGCUCCGUCUCCAGGGCACACGCUUCCCAGAGCAGCACAUGCUCAGGAAUCUGAGGGACACCCAGCCUGGACCCAUGGACUUCUUUCCAGUUCCUCUCCCAGGCACAGGGACACCACAUCCCCGUACCCCGGCGGCUCUGGAACUGGCGCUAUUGCCGCACCCAGAAAACCAGAGCUGGAGGCACCAGGCAGGGCAGCAGCCUCCGAGAGCCCCGCACGCCUCACUCCCACCCCCUCUGCACGUCUGUCCUGGGCGUUCAAGCACGUCCUAAAGGCUGGGGGCCUUGGUCUCCUUGUCUAUCUCCUGGGGCAGGGCUGGGCGGUGCUGAGGUCAGUGAGGACCAUUCCUACACUUGCCCAGCGCUCCCCGGGCCACCUGCACCUCUUCCCAAAGCAAAGAUGGAAGCCCCCGCCCCGCCUCCACCCAGAGUGCAAAAGGAGGUGUCAGAGGGAACAGGAAAAUGGCUCAGCCCCCAUGGAAGAGGGGGGGAAAGGGUUUCUGGAGGGUGGGGCUGGGCAGGAGGCGAGAUGGCUGCCCACAGGAAGUGACUGCCAUUUGGCGCUGGCUUCCCCCAGGUCCCAGCAACCCUAGCUCUCCCCGGACACCUCGAACUAUCCAUCAGAGAGACCCGCAUGUCAGGACAGCAGGGCUGCCGGGCACAGGGGAGGGGCUCUGGAAAGUGGCUCACACCUUGCCUUGCCGGUGCUCUGCACCAAGGGAAGGCCAGCCUGAGGCUGCUGCCCCCGACCUGUCUC